CCCCUCUAUCCUGUAGACAACUCCUGUACGGUCGUCCACGCUGUACAGGUGACCGUUGAACGCAACUAGCUCCGACAGCUCCAUACCUGGGGGUACAAUGAUCACUCAGUCAGUAUAAUGAUCCGUCGGUCAAUACGAUGAUCAGCCGGUCAAUACGAUGAUCAGUCGGUCAAUACGAUGAUCAGGUCGGUCAAUACGAUGAUCAGCCGGUCAAUACGAUGAUCAGGUCGGUCAAUACGAUGAUCAGCCGGUCAAUACGAUGAUCAGUCGGUCAAUACGAUGAUCAGUCGGUCAAUACGAUGAUCAGGUCGGUCAAUACGAUGAUCAGGUCGGUCAAUACGAUGAUCAGGUCGGUCAAUACGAUGAUCAGGUCGGUCAAUACGAUGAUCAGUCGGUCAAUACGAUGAUCAGCCGGUCAAUACGAUGAUCAGGUCGGUCAAUACGAUGAUCAGGUCGGUCAAUACGAUGAUCAGCCGGUCAAUACGAUGAUCAGCCGGUCAAUACGAUGAUCAGCCGGUCAAUACGAUGAUCAGGUCGGUCAAUACGAUGAUCAGGUCGGUCAAUACGAUGAUCAGCCGGUCAAUACGAUGAUCAGUCGGUCAAUACGAUGAUCAGGUCGGUCAAUACGAUGAUCAGCCGGUCAAUACGAUGAUCAGUCGGUCAAUACGAUGAUCAGGUCGGUCAAUACGAUGAUCAGGUCGGUCAAUACGAUGAUCAGGUCGGUCAAUACGAUGAUCAGCCGGUCAAUACGAUGAUCAGGUCGGUCAAUACGAUGAUCAGCCGGUCAAUACGAUGAUCAGCCGGUCAAUACGAUGCACCCAGCACAGUCUUCAUUAAUAUUCAGUACAGACAGUAUUCACUCUUUCCAUAUGUUGCUGUGUUACAGCCUGAAUUUAAAAUAGUUUUAAUUGAGAUUGUUUUGUCACUGGCCUACACACAAUAUCUCAUAAUGUCAAAGUGGAAUAAUAUUUUUUAGACAUUUUUACUACAAAGAUAAAGGCGUCCUUCCUAACUCAGGAGAGGAAGGAAAACGCUCAGGGAUUUCACAAUGAGGCCCAAUGGUGACUUUAAAACAGUUACAGAGUUCAGUGACUGUCAUAGGAGGAAACUCAGGAUGGAUCAACAACAUUAGUUACUCAACAAUACUAACCUAAUGGACAGAGUGAAAAGAAGGAAGGCUGUACAGAAUAGAAAAUAUUCCAAAACAUGCAUCCUGU